rnacentral:rRNA from 1 species
CCCUCCCUAGUUUUUCCCGCCUAUAUACCACCGUCGUCAGCUUACCCUGUGAAGGAUUUAUAGUGAGCAUAACUGGUAAAGCCCAGAACGUCAGGUCGAGGUGUAGUGCAUGAGAGGGGAAGAAAUGGGCUACAUUCGCUGCCCCAGCGAACACGAAUGAUGCAUUGAAACAUGCAACUGAAGGUGGAUUUAGCAGUAAGUGGGAAGCAGAGAGUCCCACUGAAACUGGCUCUUAAGCGUGCACACACCGCCCGUCACCCUCCCCAAGCCCCUGGACCUAAAUUUCCCGUCAAACCAAAACAAACGCGAAGGUGAGGAAAGUCGUAACAUGGUAAGCGUACCGGAAGGUGCGCUUGGUAAAAU